rnacentral:rRNA from 1 species
AGAGUUAAACAGUGCGUGAAAUUGUUGAAAGGGAAACGUUUGACACCAGUUUUGCGGGUGGGAAAUCAGUCAAUUGCAGUGGGGAGUGGUAGGGGUUUCGACCGCAAGGCAGACCUUUGUCUCAUUCCUGCUGUGAUUGAUGCACUUUUUCAUUUGCAGGUCAACAUCAGUUUCUUCCGCUGGACAAAACCUCAAGGGAAUGUGACAGCUUUGGCUGUGUUAUAGCCCUGGGGCGAUACAGUGGUGGGGACUGAGGUUUUCGCAGUGUGUGCUCUCGGGCAAGGCUGACUGGGUGCUGUGGAGUGGUCCAGCGUACAAUGCUUGCAUCUUGCGCUGGGUCUGUUCUGUACUCGUCCAUCUCGGCUCUUCCACGCUUAGGAUGUUGACAUAAUGGUUUUAAACGACC